rnacentral:rRNA from 1 species
GACGCACGCUGGCGGCGUGCCUAAUACAUGCAAGUUGAGCGCUGAAGGUUGGUACUUGUACCAACUGGAUGAGCAGCGAACGGGUGAGUAACGCGUGGGGAAUCUGCCUUUGAGCGGGGGACAACAUUUGGAAACGAAUGCUAAUACCGCAUAAAAACUUUAAACACAAGUUUUAAGUUUGAAAGAUGCAAUUGCAUCACUCAAAGAUGAUCCCGCGUUGUACUAGCUAGUUGGUGAGGUAAAGGCUCACCAAGGCGAUGAUACAUAGCCGACCUGAGAGGGUGAUCGGCCACAUUGGGACUGAGACACGGCCCAAACUCCUACGGGAGGCAGCAGUAGGGAAUCUUCGGCAAUGGACGAAAGUCUGACCGAGCAACGCCGCGUGAGUGAAGAAGGUUUUCGGAUCGUAAAACUCUGUUGGUAGAGAAGAACGUUGGUGAGAGUGGAAAGCUCAUCAAGUGACGGUAACUACCCAGAAAGGGACGGCUAACUACGUG